rnacentral:rRNA from 1 species
GACGAACGCUGGCGGCGUGCCUAACACAUGCAAGUCGAGCGGGGAGAGAUUUUCGGAUUUCUCUUUAGCGGCGGACGGGUGAGUAACACGUGGGUAACCUGCCUCAAAGAGGGGGAUAGCCUUCCGAAAGGAAGAUUAAUACCGCAUAAUAUCAGGAAGCUGCAUGGCAUUCUGAUUAAAGGAGCAAUCCGCUUUGAGAUGGACCCGCGGCGCAUUAGCUAGUUGGUGAGGUAACGGCCCACCAAGGCGACGAUGCGUAUCCGACCUGAGAGGGGGAUCGGCCAAAUUGGAACUGAGACACGGUCCAGACUCCUACGGGAGGCAGCAGUGGGGAAUAUUGCACAAUGGGGGAAACCUUGAUGCAGCAACGCCGCGUGAGUGAUGAAGGCCUUCGGGUCGUAAAGCUCUUUGAUCAGGGACGAUAAUGACGGUACCUGAAAAACAAGCCACGGCUAACUACGUGCCAGCCGCCGCAGUAAAAC